AUUGAACGCUGGCGGCAGGCCUAACACAUGCAAGUCGAGCGGAGCGGCGGACGGGUGAGUAAUGCCGAGGAAUCUGCCUGGUAGUGGGGGAUAACGUCCGGAAACGGGCGCUAAUACCGCAUAGUAUCAGAUGAGCCUAGGUCGGAUUAGCUAGUUGGUGGGGUAAAGGCCUACCAAGGGGACGAUCCGUAACUGGUAUGAGAGGCUGAUCAGUAAACAUUGAACUGAGACAGGGUCCAGAGUGCUCCGGUAGGCAGCAGUGGGGAAUAGGGGACAAUGGGCGAAAGGCUGAGUAAGUCAUGCCUCGUGUGUGAAGAAGUUCUUCGGAUUAUAAAGCACUUUAAUUUGGGAGGCGUUAUCAACAGAAUAAGCACCGGCUAACUUCGUUCGAGCCGCCGCGGUAAUAC
rnacentral:rRNA from 1 species